UUGAAAUGUUUUAAGCCAUUAUUUAAAGCUUUUUACUAAAAUUCGUUAACAGUGAGCAUCUUUAAUUUUCUAGUUCGCGGCUUCCCUUUUCGCCCGUUUUCGAACCAAAGCUUAAAGCGCCCUCUCUCGGAUGUUCAUGCAAGCAAUCAUUCUCGAUAGCGUUCAGUUGCGAAGUGCUCGGAUUUGUUAAAAGUUAACUUAAGUGGUGUUUUUUAAUUAAUUGCGCGAAUCGCCAAUUGCAAGUGCAAGUGCAAAGACAAAACGGGCAAAGACAAGGUUAGCCGCUGAAAAAGCCGUCUUGGCUUUAAAUCAAAACAAGUGCAGCGAAAAAGGCAAACAAGAAAACCAACAACACUGCACAGAACAAAUUUGCAGAUAUCGGCCGUCAAGUGCAAUAUGCUGAUAAGACGGGAGAAUCCAAAGGAGGAAGAAGAACUCAAAUCCAGACGGAUUUUAUGGCCAAAAUAAAUGACGAACAGCAAACACGGCAAACGGCAAACGGCAAAUGGCAAAUGGCAUCGAAAGGAACAGGCUAAUAAAAAGCCAUUAAAACCAAGUUCAGGCAGGUCAUAUUUUGAAACUCCUCGAUUUCGAAAACUGUGCGCUGAGAGGAAGAUUCAAGCAUAUUGAUAGCAGAGAGGUGCUGAAACCACGAAUGGAUGAAUUGGUAGUUGGCUGCGCGAAAAUUGAUCCGUACUUACCAUAAAUAUCUGUACUUACCAUAAACAUUUAAUACAUACCUGUAAACAAUGCAUGAAAUAAAGUAUUUUAUUGAACAACAAAA